AUUGAACGCUGGCGGCAUGCCUUACACAUGCAAGUCGAACGGCAGCACGGGAGCAAUCCUGGUGGCGAGUGGCGAACGGGUGAGUAAAGUAUCGGGACGUGCCCAGUCGUGGGGGAUAACGUAGCGAAAGCUACGCUAAUACCGCAUACGAUCUAUGGAUGAAAGCGGGGGAUCGCAAGACCUCGCGCGAUUGGAGCGGCCGAUAUCAGAUUAGGUAGUUGGUGGGGUAAAGGCCUACCAAGCCGACGAUCUGUAGCUGGUCUGAGAGGACGACCAGCCACACUGGGACUGAGACACGGCCCAGACUCCUACGGGAGGCAGCAGUGGGGAAUUUUGGACAAUGGGCGCAAGCCUGAUCCAGCAAUGCCGCGUGCAGGAUGAAGGCCUUCGGGUUGUAAACUGCUUUUGUACGGAGCGAAACGGCUUCCACUAAUACUGGGGGCUAAUGACGGUACCGUAAGAAUAAGCACCGGCUAACUACGUGCCAGCCGCCGCCGUAA
rnacentral:rRNA from 1 species